UCCUGGGUUAAUACCCUUCCAUGUCUGGACAUCUCCAGUCUCAUGUGAUGUUGGAAGCUAAGCAGGGCUGGGUCUGGCUAGUGUUUGGAUGGGAGACCAGGAGAGAACAGUACAGGGAGCUCUCGCU
rnacentral:rRNA from 1 species